rnacentral:rRNA from 1 species
UUACAGAAGUAAACGCGGAUCAAACCGCGAACUUCUAAACCUUUGACGAUUGACUCAUGUUGCCUCGGCGGGUGCUCCCGCCAGAGGAUACAUCAAAACUCCUGUUUUAACGGUGUUGUCUGAGCUACAAGCAACGAAUCAAAACUUUCAACAACGGAUCUCUUGGUUCUGGCAUCGAUGAAGAACGCAGCGAAAUGCGAUAAGUAGUGUGAAUUGCAGAAUUCAGUGAAUCAUCGAAUCUUUGAACGCACAUUGCGCCCCUUGGUAUCCCGAGGGGCAUGCCUGUUCGAGCGUCAUUUCACCACUCAAGCCUGGCUUGGUGUUGGGCGACGUCCCCUUUGGGGACGCGCCUCGAAACGCUCGGCGGCGUGGCACCGGCUUUAAGCGUAGCAGAAUCUUUCGCUUUGAAAGUCGGGGCCCCGUCUGCCGGAAGACCUACUCGCAAGGUUGACCUCGGAUCAGGCAGGGAUACCCGCUGAACUUAAGCAUAUCAAUAA